GCGAGCGUGGUGCAGUUGGUUACCACAUCUGUCUAACAGAACGUGGCUCUGGGAUUUCAACUCAGAGCAUACACCUGUCAGUGCACAGAAGAUCCCCGGUUCGAGCCCGGGCGUUCGUA